GUGUUCACUUAUGCAGCAUGUAUGCUAAAACUGGAAUAAUACUGAGAAGAUUAGCAUGAUUAGCAUGGCCCCUGUGCAAGGAUGACAUACAAAUUUGUGAAAAAUUCCAUAUGUUU
ensembl:snRNA U6 U6 spliceosomal RNA